rnacentral:rRNA from 1 species
GUACACUCCUACGGGAGGCAGCAGUGGGGAAUUUUGGACAAUGGGCGAAAGCCUGAUCCAGCCAUGCCGCGUGCAGGAUGAAGGCCUUCGGGUUGUAAACUGCUUUUGUACGGAACGAAACGGCCUUUUCUAAUAAAGAGGGCUAAUGACGGUACCGUAAGAAUAAGCACCGGCUAACUACGUGCCAGCAGCCGCGGUAAUACGUAGGGUGCAAGCGUUAAUCGGAAUUACUGGGCGUAAAGCGUGCGCAGGCGGUUAUGUAAGACAGUUGUGAAAUCCCCGGGCUCAACCUGGGAACUGCAUCUGUGACUGCAUAGCUAGAGUACGGUAGAGGGGGAUGGAAUUCCGCGUGUAGCAGUGAAAUGCGUAGAUAUGCGGAGGAACACCGAUGGCGAAGGCAAUCCCCUGGACCUGUACUGACGCUCAUGCACGAAAGCGUGGGGAGCAAACAGGAUUAGAUACCCCGAGUAGUCCCAUGAU